rnacentral:rRNA from 1 species
UACGUAGGGGGCGAGCGUUGUCCGGAUUCAUUGGGCGUAAAGAGCUCGUAGGCGGCUUGGUAAGUCAAAUGUGAAACCUCCAGGCUCAACUUGGAGACGCCACUUGAUACUGCCAUGGCUAGAGUCCGGUAGGGGAUCACGGAAUUCCUGGUGUAGCGGUGAAAUGCGCAGAUAUCAGGAGGAACACCGGUGGCGAAGGCGGUGGUCUGGGCCGGCACUGACGCUGAGGAGCGAAAGCGUGGGGAGCGAACAGG